rnacentral:rRNA from 1 species
UACAGAGACUGCAAGCGUUAUUCGGAUUCACUGGGCGUAAAGGGCGCGUAGGCGGCUCCGCAAGUCGACUGUGAAAUCUCCGGGCUUAACCCGGAAAGGUCAGCCGAUACUGCGGGGCUAGAGUGCAGAAGGGGCAACUGGAAUUCUCGGUGUAGCGGUGAAAUGCGUAGAUAUCGAGAGGAACACCGGCGGCGAAGGCGGGUUGCUGGGCUGACACUGACGCUGAGACGCGAAAGCGUGGGGAGCAAACAGG